GGGGAUUUAGCUCAGCGGCAUAAGCGCCUGCCUUGAAAGCAGGCAGUCGUGAGUUCUAUCCCCA
rnacentral:tRNA from 1 species